CCACAGAUGAGCCCAGAUCAUGCGGGGGCAACAGGAGAACAUGACUUGCCCUGGCCUUUGCUGAUCACGUGGUCCUACCUAGUGGAUCCUUCUUUGAGCCCAUUCUCCAGCAAGGGUGACCUCUCCAGGAUGGUUUCCUCUCUUACCCCAUGGGCUACGUGGUUUCUGGGGGCUGUGAAAGGGUCCACUUCGGGCAGGAGCUACCAGAAGAAGGGCUCGAUGCUUCCUCUCAAGUCUGGGGGAGGCUUGCUCUCUUCCUGUGCCUGGAACUCUGCUACCCAGUGGAGCCAGCUCUAAGGUGAGCAGAGCCUCUCUCCUGAAGCUGCCUCGUGGGAGUGCUCAGAAGUCCCUGCUUCUGGUUCCAAUCCUGUCCACUCCUUGGACUCAGAAUUUAAGGUGUCUUCAUAGGGAUGACUGAUCCCCAUCAGGCUGAAGCACCUGUUCCCAAAAUGGCAGCCCCACCCCAGGACUGCUAGUGUCCUGAGCUUGCCCCAAGGGACCCCAGACAACAGGGCUGUCCCAGGUUCCCAGCAUCCUCUCCGAUUGGGAAAGACCUCAGGACCCCAGCACCAGCCUUUCAGUGUCUUCCUCUGCCUUUUCAGCAUUCCCAGUGAGCCACCAGUAAAUGGCGCCCUCAGCACUUGCUUUCAUAAUUCAUAAGAAGUCUCCAUGUCAUUAUUUGGGAGCUGGAUGGCAGGACAGAAAAACUCAUUUAUACUUGCCUCCCGAUAGGAGCCCCUUUUCUGUGCUGGCCCCUUUGGCGGGCUCUUCCUGUUGUUCCCUAACCUAUUCAGGCUGCUAAGAGACCUCACUGUUGGGGCAAGCAAGAUGACACCAAGGCAAAGAUGCCUGCUGCUCAACAAUCUGAGUUCAGUCCUUGGAAGCCAUGUAAAGAUGGACAGAGAGAAAUGACUUCAUAAAAUUGUCCUUUGACCUCCACACAUGCACCUGGUAGACAUGCUCCCCCCAUAAGUGAGAGAGAGAGAGAGAGAGAGAGAGAGAGAGAGAGAGAGAGAGAGAGAGAGAGAGAGAGAGAGAGAGAGAGACUGUUUUUGCAACUUUCUGUAAGACAAUCAUCACUUUGAAAUAAGAAGUAAGGAAGGCAAAAAACAUAGACAGAUGCUUCACCAAAGGGGAUAUUGGUGAGAGAUAUUCAGCACCAUCAGUCACUGAGGGCUGUAGAUUCCGGUCACAAUCAGAAGCCAUCUCACACGUUUAGAAAGACUGAUAGGAAAACAACUGAGCUGGAGGCACCCCACGCUUGCCAUGGGAGAGCAAAAUGGCCCAGUCACUCUGGAUGGCUUGGUGGUUUCUCAUCACCGAGUGAGAGAGAUUGCAGUGCCCGGGAAUCCCAUUGGAGGCGCUUCUCUGCAUGCAAUGACAUCUGUGUUCACAGAAACUCACACGGGGACCUUCUCAGGGCCUUCCUCUGCAAAAGCUUGAGCUUAGGACUGCCAGCAACUCUACGCAGGUGGGUUUCUGAGCAGAGGGCAGCACAUCUGUGCAGUGCACCAGUGUAGAAGGGGACCAGUGACAGAGAAGUUGACCUCCAUGUGUGAACAUGGUGGCUUUCAAUGGACUAGGAAGCCAUCUCAGAAGGUGGCCCUCUGCACCGUUUUGGCUGACAGUCUCAGAGAGACAAACCUAGCCCAGGAGAACAAAGGAGUAGCUGCCAGGCAGGGCUGGGAAAGUGGGUGGCAGGGAGGGCUGGGGGUGACAGAAGUCUUCACUGUCUGGACUAUGUUCACCAUUAUAUGGAAAAGGACCAGAAAAGGCACAGAACCCCAUGUUAGGGUUUGACUAUGAGGUGUCCCUCAGAAAGCCUCAUGGGCGCAAGGUUUGGUCCCCAGUUUGCUGCUGAGGGCUGGCUGGAUCAAAAGGGUGCUAACCUAGCAAUGGCUUAACCCAUUCAGAACUUGUUAUCCAACUUGGGGAUGGGUCACCACAUGUGUCCCAAGUCAGGUCCAGCCACCUGCCCUCAGGAGCAAAUUAAAAGAGUCAAAUUCAAAGUGGAAGGCAGGAAAGGGGAGAUGUAUUAUUGAUUGUAGCCACAUCAGGAAGAGGGACAAAGAGAUCCAGUGAACAGCCCAAGUCCAUCUUCUGGGUCCUGAAGUGAGAUCAAAGUUUAAAAAGAGAGCUAAGGAUGCGCACAUCUAAGCAGUCCUGGUCAAGGUGUGGUCCUGCCCACCACUGACCCAUCCUCCCCUGGACUUCAGUGUCACCUGUCAGGUGAUCUGAGAAGUUUUUAGAACUGUUAGAUCUUCUCCCAGGAAACAGGUUCCCAUCCAGCUGGCACUCUUCCCUUCUCAGCAGAGAUUCCUGGGGAAAUUCCCACUUCUUUGGGGGACCCUUCUUUCAAUAGCCCGAUAGUCAGAUUGAGAGACACUAGCAUCUCUUUCGAACAUCUUCAUUUCUAACAAACUGGGCCUAGUGGCACACACUGAUCCCAGCUCUUGGAAAGACAGAGGCAGAGGCAGGAGGAUCUCCAUGAGUUCCAGGCCAGCCAUGGCUAUAGAGAGAGAUCUCAUCUCAAAACAAUCAAAACCAGAAUAUCUUCAUUUCUGCCAUGCCACUUACAAACUCAGAGCUGAGUGGACCAUUAGGAGGACCAUUAGGAGGACCAUUAGGAGGACCAUUGGGAGGACCAUUGGGAGGAUCAUUAGGAGGACCAUUAGGAGGACCAUUAGAAGGCUAUGCCUUUGAGGGGCAUAUUUUUCCCUGGCCCCUUCCUGUGUGUCUCUGUCUAUCAGCCUCGCCUGCCCCAGCCACAACCACCACCAACAACAACAACAUAUACCACCACCAUAACCAUCACCACCAUAACCACCACCACCAUAACCACCACCACCACCACCACCACCACCACGAAGCUCUGCCAUGGAAACAGCACACACUGAAGUCUCUGUAAUCCUUCUUUCCUUAAGUUGUUUUCUAAGGCAUUUGGUUACAGUCAUAAAAAACCUGUAACAAGGCCCACAGGGAAAUCAAAUUGUUUCAACUGCCAGAGUUGAUAGCCUCCGAUGAGGGAAGUCCCUAGAGACUCUGAAGCAUCUCUAGGGGUGCUGGGGGAGUCCUGGGAUCUAAUUGUUACAGCACCAUGGAUGCCAACACCACUUGUUCCCUACAAUGUUGCUCUCAGCCUCCACCUCUGCACCCUCCCCGGGUCACCCUGGCUCCUCUAUGGUCAUGGGACUGGAUCACUUCCCAAGAAUGCUGACUCCUUGAGGCUAGUCCUCCACCCACCCACCAUCUACUCUGACCACAUCGGGGAACUAUGGAUGCUCAGGGUCACUGAGGAAGGAAGCAUGGAGUCACUGAGGAUGCUUCGGGUUGCUCUAGACACUUGAAUUUGGGGUAUCUGUAGGAGGUCACAGAGGGCUGGGGAAGGAAGGGCCAGUGCGAAUGGUGGGAGCUUGAAGCCAAGGCAGGAGUCCCUCAGUCAUAGGUCACUGGGGGUGGCUUUUUGUUCACGUAUAGGCUCCUGUCUGCCAGGGGCUAUGUGUAGAAGGCUAACUAGGUUGUGCUAAAAUCCCCCAGGUGCUACAGUUGGAGACUUGCUAAUUAGUUAAAUGACACUUUAGCGCCACCAUUUGUGGCCAGUGGGUGUGAAUGGUCCUGCUACUUCUAGGGAUCUGGGGCAGCACCCAGGGAUCUAGGGCAGGAUCCAGCAGUGUGGGUGACCACAGGCUGGGGACAGAGGGCAGGAGCCGGCAGUGUGGGUGACCACAGGCUGGGGACAGAGGGCAGGAGCCGGCAGUGUGGGUAACCACAGGCUGGGGACAGAGGACAGGAGCUGGCAGUAUGGGUGACCACAGGCUGGGGACAGAGGACAGGAGCUGGCAGUGUGGGUGACCACAGGCUGGGGACAGAGGACAGGAGUUGGCAGUGUGGGUGACCACAGGCUUGGGGGUGGGAGGAGUUGUCCCUAUCCCUUCCUGUCAGUUCCAUGAUCACUUGGCAGGCAGCUGGGUCAUCCUGCAUGCUUUGUGCACCCUGCCGGCUGUAAGCCACUGUUCCCUCCUCUGAACAGUCUGCCUUGCACCACAAUUGAAGGGCAGCCACUGACAGACCUGCUAGGCAUAGCCUGGGCCAAAUGCAGAUUUUUUUUUUCCCAUCCUGAUGCUCCCUGUCUGGUGCUCCCUACCUGGUGCUCCCUGCCUGCCGUUCCUGUCCAGAGCAGCUGCCCUGACCAUGGAUGUCUACAACAGCCCCAAGAGUCUCCAGUGGCCCUGAGUUUUUGCAGUGACCCUCACCUGAAGUGACCUCAACCCUAAGCCUCCUCAUUGACUCUGAACAUCUACGGUGACACUGACCUCCUACAAUAACCUCAACCUCAAGUGUCUGCAGUGACCCCCCAAGCAUCCUCGAUUGGGUUGACAGAGAUGGAAGAUGUUUGGGUCACCCCAGACUCUGCCACUCUUAGCAGAUACUAGAAGGGGAUGCUGAGACCCAAGUGCAAACCGAAGCCCUUCAUGAAGGCCUCCCCGUCUGCAGCAAGAACUGUUCUAACUCACUGCCUGAAGGCCCUCCUCGUCAGGGGUAGAACUUGGAUAAGAAACUUCUAGAAAGACUACAUUGACUCCCAGCCCGCCAUGUGGCUGACCAGUGAAAACGGGAAGUAAACUUCAAAAGCGGCAUAAGCUUUUUCCAGUCCCUGCUGCUUCCUGGUGCUCAGGGAAGACACUGGACAGCUGGGGCUCUAGAAGUCUCGUUGAACCACGAGGCACAAGACACAGCAUGAGUAAAGGCCAUGGGGGGCUGGGGAAAGCCAAGGUCCCUGGAGUCUUUGUGCUCCGGGAAGAGCGCCAUCAUGAAGACAAGUCAAAACAGAAGAUGAUGCAGAGCCAGGAGAGCCACCAAGCGACAGUCAGAGAUCCAGCUCUCAUCACCUGAGGUCUACAGCAGCCUGGUCAUUCUGUUGUCAAUGCCAGCCUGCUCCCUGGCUGGUAAGCCCCCUUGAGCUGGGUUUCUGUCAGAGGCCAAAAACACAUGUGCUGUGAGGCAUGCCUUGCUCAGUGGUCCUGUCGUCAUGUGAGGGACCUGAGGAGGGAAAGGAGCCUUGACACACAGGGAUGACUUUCCACAGAGGAGAAACGCCAGGUGGAUGACAGCGGGGACCUCCACGCAGUGGGGCAAGGCUUGGCCAGACAGGUCCUGGGCAUGUCCCCAGUCUCAGUGGGGUCUAGUGUGAUUGUACAGUCUGGAAUAGGACUGAGCACCUGGCAGCCCCAGGGUCCCAAGCCUGGGGCACCUUACUCAUCCUAUUUGGCCCAAAUUAAUGCUCUCGGGUAGCAGUUUGCCUUAGAGCUGUGAGUGAUACAAUGUGGCCCUUAUAUCUUUUACAACUGCUCAUUAGGCCUCCAGCCUCUCUGGAUAGACACAUGCUAAGCUCACACAUAAAGAGUACACAGACCCAUGGCACAUAAUACAUGUAGAUGUGUAUAACUCAUGUGUACAUUAUAUGCAUGUCAUGCAUUUAUAUAUGUGUGGUGUGCACAUCCACACAGAUUGAGGUACACAUGUACAGUAGAGUGCAUGUACAUUCAUGAGUGGCACCUCACGGGUUUGAACAUAGUUGUGGACGUACAUGCAUGAGCCCACAUUUACAUGUGGUACACAUACACAGGGUGCAUAUGAAGCCACAUGGCUGCACACCCUUCUCCUUCUCUCCAAAUUCAUCAGGGACUGAAGCCCUGGGGCUGGGCAUAAGAUGAAUGAGAGCCAAGGUAGUUGGAGAGAGACUCGCUGCAAUGGAAGCUAAGGUCAGCAGCAAAGGCCUGGGGUCCUGCCUUGAGCUUCAGCCACCAUACCUUCUCAGCUUUUCCUUGCCUCCUUUUCAGGCUCUAGGAAGACCAGAGGUUACUUGGGGUAGGUGAGGAUAAAUGAGGGUGUGUCCUCGGUUCACAGAGCCACCCACCCACUUCUGAGGAGUUGCCCAACUCCUGUGUUUAAUUCUGACCCAAGACAUCCAGAGGGCCAUGAGUUGAAGUGCCAAGUGUGAGCCGGACCACAGGCAUUUCUGGAACCUUGCAAUAGUCUAACUCUCUUGUCCAAGAUCUGGAGACUCUGUGGUGUGGUGGCCUGCUCGGAUCUUGAAUAUUUGUACCUGGCUCUCAAAGAGAUCAGAUGGGUCCUUCAGAGCCCAGGGGGACCUCAGGCCCAGUGUGGGUCUCUGUGAGAAGACCUCUCCAACAAAACCCAGACCCAUCUGGUCAGGUCAUUUCCCAGCAACCCUACUACACAGGUCACCUGACACUUGAGGGACAUCAGUGCUAGGUUAGGGAUGAGGGGUAGCAUCUCAGGUAGCAGCUUGCUUGCUCCUGCCCUGGAGCUGUGUGUGACACAGUGUGGCCCUUAUAACACUUACGACUGCUCAUUAGGCCUCCAGCCUCUAGAUAGACACAUGCUAAGCUCACACAUAAAGAGUACACAUAAACCAAGCAGCCUCAGUUCAGCCUGAGAGAACAGAAUGCUCGGGUUCCCGUGGCUGCCCUUCCUCCAGGACCAAGAACAGGGGAUGGGGAUGGGUGGAUUCAGCCUCAUGUCCUGUUCUUUUCUUUGGGGACAGUGGCCUUCCCCACCUUCUAAGGGUUGGAGAGCUGCUGUUCUUCACGCCAUCUAAAUCUGGGACCCACAGGUCUCCACCACCACAGGCACUAAAGAGGUCAGCCCAGGGGGGCCGAGUUACACAAGCUGAGCCCCAGUUCCUGACCCACAUCUCCUGCCUGUCCCCUCCGGCUUCUGUGGGGAAUGCACACGGGGUGUGAUGCUGGGCUGCGGGGCAUGUGUGGGCGUGUGAGACUGUGCCUUUGUACACAGGGGCACGCAUGCCCUGGCCUGCUGUCCUUACAGACUUUAUCUGUCAUACCAGGCUCUUGGUGCCCUGGGCACAGCACAGUUGUGUUCUCCCCUAACGUCCCCCAACGUCUCCCCCUUUGCUUCCCCCCACAAACUCCUAUACCACUCCCCAUCCCAGCUCCCAACUGAGUCAGCCUGCCACAUCCCCACCACCCACAGAUCCUUGGAUUCAUCUCUAAGCAGGACUGACUGCCAAGUGAGACCUUGAGGGAAGAGGUGCUCAGAGAAUUGUGGGGAUCAGCCUGGCCUCUGACCUUGAAAGGUUACAACGGGAACUGGCCAGACAGCAUAGUGUAGUAGCCCUUCCCAUGUCUGCAUGCCUUGGAUGCAUGACUGUGCCUGUCACUGUAGAUUUCUCACUAUGGCUGGUCACGUCACAACAGCCCAGGCACCUUCACUUUCCUAAUUUUCUAGCUCUAGUACCAGCUGGGAUCAGGGAACACCAGCACCGGAGCCUUUGUUUCCAUUAUCAUCAAACACCAGAAUCAGACCACUGCCCUCUGCCACUGUCUCCUCUCUUCCAUGUCUCCCUCAGGGCCUCCAUAAGCAUCAUCAGCCACCAUAGUCAUCCUCAGCCUUGUCCCUGCUUGGGCUUGAACGAACCUGCCUGCAGCUGGCCUUGACGCUCUUGGGGCCUGUGAUGGCCCUGUCUAGGUGGGGCUUGGCCUCCCAGCUCCAGGGCUGCAUGGGGUCAUGUAGCCCCCACCGCAGGCUGCACAGGUUGGCUCAGCAGCAGCUAGCUCCCCCUUGCUAAUUCUCUAAAUAAACAGUAAUGGGAGCUGCUCAGGCUGGCUGGGUUGGGCUUUGUGGGCUGUUUAUUUAUUUUUUUUCCCUCUUUGCUUUGAAUUUAUUUUUUUUCCUCCCUCUUCUAAAUUGGUGUGGUGUGGGGAAUUCAUAAUUCGCCCUCCUCACUCCCAUUUCGGCUCUCUUCCGCUGCCUAAUUAUCUAAUUUGUAAUAUUCCAUCUACCCUCCCUUUCAUCUCCCUCCAAACAUCCCGACCUGUUCAAAUAAAUAUGUACUUUUAAUUUCAA